rnacentral:sRNA from 1 species
UGUCAUGUGGUGUUAAAUUCAUCCGUUGAAUUCUUUUUUUUUGUUUUUUUUGAGAUGGAGUUUCGCUCUCGUUGCCCAGGCUGGAGUGCAGUGGCGUGAUCUCAGCUCACCGCAACCUCCGCCUCCCGGGUUCAAGCGAUUCUCCUGCCUCAGCCUCCCAAGUAGCUGGGAUUACAGGCGCCCGCCACCACGCCCAGCUAAUUUUGUAUUUUUUUUUAGUAGAGACGGGGGUUUCACCAUGUUUGUCAGGCUGGUCUCGAACUCCUGACCUCAGGUGAUCCACCCGCCUCAGCCUCCCAAAGCGCUGGGAUUACAGGAGUGAGCCACUGCGCCUGGCCAAAGUUUUGUUUUUAAAUUAGCCCAGCGUGGUGGGUGUGUGCCUAUAGUCCCAGCUACUCGGGAGGCGGAGGCGGGAGGACGCUUGAGCUCAGGAGUUUGAGCGAGCCAUGAUUGCGCCACUGCAGCCUGGGUGACAGCCCCACCCUGUCUCUCAAUUUUUUUUUUUUUUUUUUUUUUUUUUGAGACGGAGUCUCACUCUGUCGCCCAGGCUGGAGUGCAAUGGCGCGAUCUCGGCUCACUGCAACCUCCACCUCCUGGGUUCAAGCAGUUCUCCUGCCUCAGCUUCCCGAGUAGCUGGGAUUCCAGGCGUGCACCACCACACCCGGCUAAUUUUGUAUUUUUAGUAGAGACGGGCUUUUUCCAUGUUGGUCAGGCUGGUCUCGAACUCCCAACCUCAGGUGAUCCACCCGCCUCAGCCUCCCAAAGUGCUGGGAUUACAGGCGUGAGCCACCGCGCCCGGCAAGUUUUAAGUGAAUAAAAUAAAUAAAUUUUAAAAAAGUCCAGUUUUUUGCCAAUUUUUUUUUUUUUGACAGUCUCACUCUUGUUGCCCAGGCUGGAGUGCAACGGCAUAAUCUCAGCUCACUGCAAUCUCCGCCUCCCGGGUUCAAGUAAUUCUGCCUUAGCCUACUGAGUAGCUGGGAUUACAAGCACCCACCACCAUGCCCAGCUAACUUUUGUAUUUUUAGUAGAGACAGGGUUUCACCAUGUCGGCCAGGAUGGUCUUGAACUCCUGACUUCAGAUGAUCUGCCCACCUUGGUCUCCCAAAGUGCCGGGAUUAAAGGUGUGAGCCAGUGCACAGCCCAGUAUUCUUUUUUGUUUGUUUGUUUUUAUCGAGAUGGAGUCUCGCCCCGUUGCCCAGGCUAGAGUGCAGUGGUGCGACCUCAGUACACUGCAACCUCCACUUCACAGGUUCAAGCGAUUCUCCUGCCUCAGCGUCCUGAGCAGUUGGGAUUACAGGUAGACGAUGAGCUGGAGAUCAAGGCCUACUAUGCAGGCCAUGUGCUGGGGGCAGCCAUGUUCCAGAUUAAAGUGGGCUCAGAGUCUGUGGUCUACACGGGUGAUUAUAACAUGACCCCAGACCGACACUUGGGAGCUGCCUGGAUUGACAAGUGCCGCCCCAACCUGCUCAUCACAGAGUCCACGUAUGCCACGACCAUCCGUGACUCCAAGCGCUGCCGGGAGCGAGACUUCCUGAAGAAAGUCCACGAGACCGUGGAGCGUGGUGGGAAGGUGCUGAUACCCGUGUUCGCGCUGGGCCGCGCCCAGGAGCUCUGCAUCCUCCUGGAGACCUUCUGGGAGCGCAUGAACCUGAAGGUGCCCAUCUACUUCUCCACGGGGCUGACUGAGAAGGCCAACCACUACUACAAGCUGUUCAUCCCCUGGACCAACCAGAAGAUCCGCAAGACUUUCGUGCAGAGGAACAUGUUUGAGUUCAAGCACAUCAAGGCCUUCGACCGGGCUUUUGCCGACAACCCAGGACCGAUGGUUGUGUUUGCCACGCCAGGAAUGCUGCACGCUGGGCAGUCCCUGCAGAUCUUCCGGAAAUGGGCCGGAAAUGAAAAGAACAUGGUCAUCAUGCCCGGCUACUGCGUGCAGGGCACCGUCGGCCACAAGAUCCUCAGCGGUCAGCGGAAGCUCGAGAUGGAGGGGCGGCAGGUGCUGGAGGUCAAGAUGCAGGUGGAGUACAUGUCAUUCAGUGCACACGCAGACGCCAAGGGCAUCAUGCAGCUGGUGGGCCAGGCAGAGCCGGAGAGCGUGCUGUUGGUGCAUGGCGAGGCCAAGAAGAUGGAGUUCCUGAAGCAGAAGAUCGAGCAGGAGCUCCGGGUCAGCUGCUACAUGCCGGCCAAUGGUGAGACGGUGACGCUGCCCACAAGCCCCAGCAUCCCCGUAGGCAUCUCGCUGGGGCUGCUGAAGCGGGAGAUGGCGCAGGAACUUCCGGCUGGUGUCCUCAGAGCAAGCCCUCAAAGAGCUGGGUCUGGCUGAGCACCAGCUGCGCUUCACCUGCCGCGUGCACCUGCAUGACACGCGCAAGGAGCAGGAGACGGCGUUGCGCGUCUAUAGCCACCUCAAGAGGUGGGCACCCGGCCCCACCCCCCCCACUCCCUUGGGCCCUGGGGGCCAGGCAGGGUCUCACUGAGCCUCCCCACAGCAUCCUGAAGGACCACUGUGUGCAGCACCUCCCAGACGGCUCUGUGACUGUGGAGUCCAUCCUCAUCCAGGCCGCCGCCCCUUCUGAGGACCCAGGCACCAAGGUGCUGCUGGUCUCCUGGACCUACCAGGAUGAGGAGCUGGGGAGCUUCCUCACAUCUCUGUUGAAGAAGGGCCUCCCCCAGGCCCCCAGCUGAGGCCGGCAGCUCACCCAGCCACCACCUCUGCCCUCUCCCAGCUGGACAGACCGGGGCCUGCACUUCAGGACUGUGGGUGCCCUGGGUGAACAGACCCCACAGGUCCCAUCCCUGGGGACAGAGGCCUUGUGUCACGCGCCUGCCCAGGCAGCUGUUUCCAGCUAAAGAAAUAAACUGGCCUCCGGGCUGUCUUGCCUUUAUUCCUGCUUCUGGGCCCCCAAAUGGUUAGGGCAGGUGAUCCCAGACAGCGGUUUCCAGUAAAAACUGAACAAAA